CGGGGGGGGCAAGCGUUGUUCGGAAUUACUGGGCGUAAAGGGUGCGUAGGCGGCUCUCUAAGUCGGAUGUGAAAACUCUGGGCUCAACCCAGAGCCUGCAUCCGAAACUGGAGGGCUGGGGUUCUGGAGGGGAAAGCGGAAUUCCUGGUGUAGCGGUGAAAUGCGUAGAUAUCAGGAGGAACACCGGUGGCGAAGGCGGCUUUCUGGACAGAUACCGACGCUGAGGCACGAAAGCUAGGGGAGCAAACAGGAUUAGAUACCCUGGUAGUCCUAGCCCUAAACUAUGGAUACUUGCUGUGGGGGGGAUUGAAGCCCCUUGUGGCGAAGCUAACGCAUUAAGUAUCCCGCCUGGGGAGUACGGUCGCAAGGCUG
rnacentral:rRNA from 1 species